rnacentral:rRNA from 1 species
UAGGGAAUCUUCGGCAAUGGGGGCAACCCUGACCGAGCAACGCCGCGUGAGUGAAGAAGGUUUUCGGAUCGUAAAGCUCUGUUGUAAGUCAAGAACGGGUGUGAGAGUGGAAAGUUCACACUGUGACGGUAGCUUACCAGAAAGGGACGGCUAACUACGUGCCAGCAGCCGCGGUAAUACGUAGGUCCCGAGCGUUGUCCGGAUUUAUUGGGCGUAAAGCGAGCGCAGGCGGUUUGAUAAGUCUGAAGUUAAAGGCUGUGGCUCAAACAUAGUUCGCUUUUGAAACUGUCAAACUUGAGUGCAGAAGGGGAGAGUGGAAUUCCAUGUGUAGCGGUGAAAUGCGUAGAUAUAUGGGGGAACACCGGUGGCGAAAGCGGCUCUCUGGUCUGUAACUGACGCUGAGGCUCGAAAGCGUGGGGAGCGAACAGG